rnacentral:sRNA from 1 species
CUUUUUAUCCAUGAGCAGGGACAGCAUUGGCAGUGGAAGUGCAAGCUUCCCCCAUGUUGCCCCAUUUAAAUAUCCCAGCACUGACUGGAGGGACUGCCUCUAGUGGGGAGAG